AUUGAACGCUGGCGGCAUGCCUUACACAUGCAAGUCGAACGGCAGCACGGACUUCGGUCUGGUGGCGAGUGGCGAACGGGUGAGUAAUAUAUCGGAACGUGCCUUUCAGUGGGGGAUAACUAUCCGAAAGGAUAGCUAAUACCGCAUAUUCUGUGAGCAGGAAAGCAGGGGAUCUUCGGACCUUGCGCUGAUUGAGCGGCCGAUAUCAGAUUAGCUAGUUGGUGGGGUAAAGGCCUACCAAGGCGACGAUCUGUAGCGGGUCUGAGAGGAUGAUCCGCAACACUGGAACUGAGACACGGUCCAGACUCCUACGGGAGGCAGCAGUGGGGAAUUUUGGACGAUGGGGGCAACCCUGAUCCAGCCAUGCCGCGUGAGUGAAGAAGGCCUUCGGGUUGUAAAACUCUUUCGGCCGGGAAGAAAUCGCAUGGGCUAAUACCCUGUGUGGAUGACGGUACCGGAAUAAGAAGCACCGGCUAACUACGUGCCAGCCGCCGCCGUAAAAC
rnacentral:rRNA from 1 species